UACGUAGGUGGCAAGCGUUGUCCGGAUUUACUGGGUGUAAAGGGCGUGUAGGCGGAGCAGCAAGUCAGAAGUGAAAUCUCCGGGCUUAACCCGGAAACUGCUUUUGAAACUGUUGCCCUUGAGUAUCGGAGAGGCAGGCGGAAUUCCUAGUGUAGCGGUGAAAUGCGUAGAUAUUAGGAGGAACACCAGUGGCGAAGGCGGCCUGCUGGACGACAACUGACGCUGAGGCGCGAAAGCGUGGGGAGCAA
rnacentral:rRNA from 1 species